rnacentral:rRNA from 1 species
UUUGAUGAAGUUUUCGGAUGGAUUUAAAACAGCUUAGUGGCGGACGGGUGAGUAACGCGUGGGUAACCUGCCUCACACUGGGGGAUAACAGUUAGAAAUAGCUGCUAAUACCGCAUAAGCGCACAGAGCUGCAUGGCUCAGUGUGAAAAACUCCGGUGGUAUAAGAUGGACCCGCGUUGGAUUAGCUAGUUGGUGGGGUAACGGCCCACCAAGGCGACGAUCCAUAGCCGGCCUGAGAGGGCGAACGGCCACAUUGGGACUGAGACACGGCCCAAACUCC